rnacentral:rRNA from 1 species
UACGUAGGGUGCAAGCGUUAAUCGGAAUUACUGGGCGUAAAGCGUGCGCAGGCGGUUCGGAAAGAAAGAUGUGAAAUCCCAGGGCUCAACCUUGGAACUGCAUUUUUAACUCCCGAACGUAGAGUAUGUCAGAGGGGGGUGGAAUUCCACGUGUAGCAGUGAAAUGCGUAGAUAUGUGGAGGAACACCGAUGGCGAAGGCAGCCCCCUGGGAUAAUACUGACGCUCGAUGCACGAAAGCGUGGGGAGCAAACAGG